GACGUAGGGCGCGAGCGUUGUCCGGAUUUAUUGGGCGUAAAGAGCUCGUAGGCGGCUUGUCGCGUCGUCCGUGAAAACCCACAGCUCAACUGUGGGCUUGCGGUCGAUACGGGCAGGCUAGAGUUCGGUAGGGGAGACUGGAAUUCCUGGUGUAGCGGUGAAAUGCGCAGAUAUCAGGAGGAACACCUAUAGCGAAGGCAGCUCGCUGGGACGGUACUGACGCUGAGGCGCGAAAGCGUGGGGAGCGAACAGG
rnacentral:rRNA from 1 species